rnacentral:lncRNA from 1 species
GGGAUGAAGUCCAGCUCCCGUAGGAGUCCGGAUGAAGUCUACUUGCAAUUGAAGUCGGAGGUCUGGCUCCCGUAGGAGUCCGGACGAAGUCUACCUGCAAUCAAAGUCGGAGGUUCGGCUCUCGUAGGAGUCCGGACAAAGUCUACCUGCAAUCGAAGUCGGAGGUUCGGCUCUCGUAGGAGUCCGGACAAAGUCUACCUGCAAUCGAAGUCGCCCUGCAAUCGA